UAUUAUUAAAAAAUGUAAAUAAAUAAAUACUUAAAGUAGUAGUAGUUAUGUUCUUGAAACUUAAAAAAUUUGGCGGUAUUUUAGUCUAUCCAGAGGAACCUGUUUUGUAAUCGAUAAUCCACGAUGGACCUUACUUAAGUUUGUAAUCAGUUUAUAUACCGUCGUUAUCAGAAUAUUUUAUAAGAAUAAUAAUAUUCAAUAAUUUUUAUUAAAAUUUAUAUCAGAUCAAGGUGUAGCUUAUAUUUAAGUAAUAAUGGGUUACAAUAAAUUUAUUUAAACGAAUGAAAUUAUGAAAAAGUUUUUGAAGGUGGAUUUGGUAGUAAAGUUAUAAAGAUUAAUAAUUUGAUUUUAGCUCUAAAAUAUGUACACAUCGCCCGUCGCUCUUAUUAUUAAGGUAAGAUAAGUCGUAACAUAGUAGAUGUACUGGAAAGUGUAUCUAGAAUGA
rnacentral:rRNA from 1 species